rnacentral:rRNA from 1 species
AUGAACGCUAGCUACAGGCUUAACACAUGCAAGUCGAGGGGCAGCAUCAUCAAAGCUUGCUUUGAUGGAUGGCGACCGGCGCACGGGUGAGUAACACGUAUCCAACCUGCCGACAACACUGGGAUAGCCUUUCGAAAGAAAGAUUAAUACCGGAUGGCAUAGUUUUCCCGCAUGGGAUAAUUAUUAAAGAAUUUCGGUUGUCGAUGGGGAUGCGUUCCAUUAGGCAGUUGGCGGGGUAACGGCCCACCAAACCAACGAUGGAUAGGGGUUCUGAGAGGAAGGUCCCCCACAUUGGAACUGAGACACGGUCCAAACUCCUACGGGAGGCAGCAGUGAGGAAUAUUGGUCAAUGGACGAGAGUCUGAACCAGCCAAGUAGCGUGAAGGAUGACUGCCCUAUGGGUUGUAAACUUCUUUUAUACGGGAAUAAAGUUAGCCACGUGUGGCUUUUUGUAUGUACCGUAUGAAUAAGGAUCGGCUAACUCCGUGCCAGCAGCCGCGGUAAUACGGAGGAUCCGAGCGUUAUCCGGAUUUAUUGGGUUUAAAGGGAGCGUAGGCGGGUUGUUAAGUCAGUUGUGAAAGUUUGCGGCUCAACCGUAAAAUUGCAGUUGAUACUGGCGACCUUGAGUGCAACAGAGGUAGGCGGAAUUCGUGGUGUAGCGGUGAAAUGCUUAGAUAUCACGAAGAACUCCGAUUGCGAAGGCAGCUUACUGGAUUGUAACUGACGCUGAUGCUCGAAAGUGUGGGUAUCAAACAGGAUUAGAUACCCUGGUAGUCCACACAGUAAACGAUGAAUACUCGCUGUUGGCGAUAUACGGUCAGCGGCCAAGCGAAAGCAUUAAGUAUUCCACCUGGGGAGUACGCCGGCAACGGUGAAACUCAAAGGAAUUGACGGGGGCCCGCACAAGCGGAGGAACAUGUGGUUUAAUUCGAUGAUACGCGAGGAACCUUACCCGGGCUUAAAUUGCAACUGACGGAAUCGGAAACGGUUCUUUCUUCGGACAGUUGUGAAGGUGCUGCAUGGUUGUCGUCAGCUCGUGCCGUGAGGUGUCGGCUUAAGUGCCAUAACGAGCGCAACCCUUACGGGUAGUUACCAUCAGGUUAUGCUGGGGACUCUACCCGGACUGCCGUCGUAAGAUGUGAGGAAGGUGGGGAUGACGUCAAAUCAGCACGGCCCUUACGUCCGGGGCUACACACGUGUUACAAUGGGGGGUACAGAAGGCAGCUACACGGCGACGUGGUGCUAAUCCCGAAAGCCUCUCUCAGUUCGGAUUGGAGUCUGCAACCCGACUCCAUGAAGCUGGAUUCGCUAGUAAUCGCGCAUCAGCCACGGCGCGGUGAAUACGUUCCCGGGCCUUGUACACACCGCCCGUCAAGCCAUGAAAGCCGGGGGUACCUGAAGUACGUAACCGCGAGGAGCGUCCUAGGGUAAAACUGGUGAUUGGGGCU